UACAACACUAUGGGAUCAGAGGGA
rnacentral:siRNA from 1 species